CAGCCGCUCGCCCCUCUUUUGCAUGUAUCCGUCCAGGAUCCCACGACAGAUUCCGUUGUCACGUCUCCUUACAGAGUUUGAGUGGUGCUGAACUGUCAGCACCAUCUGUCCGGUCCCAGCAUGCCUUCUGAGACCCCCCAGGCAGAAGUGGGGCCCACAGGCUGCCCCCACCGCUCAGGGCCACACUCGGCGAAGGGGAGCCUGGAGAAGGGGCCCCCAGAGGAUAAGGAAGCCAAGGAGCCCCUGUGGAUCCGGCCCGAUGCUCCGAGCAGGUGCACCUGGCAGCUGGGCCGGCCUGCCUCCGAGUCCCCACAUCACCACACUGCCCCGGCAAAAUCUCCAAAAAUCUUGCCAGAUAUUCUGAAGAAAAUCGGGGACACCCCUAUGGUCAGAAUCAACAAGAUUGGGAAGAAGUUCGGCCUGAAGUGUGAGCUCCGGCAUUUCUUUGCAGGACGCAGUUUCCAGGCUCAAGAGGGUGGAGGGAAUUCCUAAGGGUCGCUCUUCACCAAGAGCGCAGAGCCCUGGUAGACCUCAGCAUCGUCACGGAGAAAGCUGUGGGUGCAGAGGCCUUGGGGACAAGGCGGGGACGGAAUUUCGUAUUUCAGAUGACCAAGGCCAAUGGCCAAGUGUGAGUUCUUCAACGCGGGCGGGAGCGUGAAGGACCGCAUCAGCCUGCGGAUGAUUGAGGAUGCUGAGCGCGACGGGACGCUGAAGCCCGGGGACACAAUUAUCGAGCCGACAUCCGGGAACACCGGUGGGUGCCAGGCCCAGCGG
rnacentral:sRNA from 1 species